AAAAAAGGCAAGAGAAGAAUUAGUUUCAUGACGACACGCGACACACCCCUACGAUCCUACCCGCCACUCCACUCCCGGCUUUUACAUUCGAGGUUCAGGACCGGCCAGAGUGGAGCAAUGAAGGCCGUCGCCGGCCACCAGUACCACGGCGUCCACCCACCGUCGCCGACGCCGGCGACUAAGAUCUCCAUUCCUGUCUCCGCCGGCGGGGGCGCGGAGGCGGCGCUGCUCGGGAAGGGGCGGUACAAGGCAUGGACCCUCGCCGCCAUCGCCCUCCUCGCGCUCUGGUCCAUGUUCGCCGCCUCCGUCACCCUCCGCUGGUCCUCCGGCGACCUUGCCGCCGCCCCCUGGGACUUGAGUAGUCCCCUCCUCGACGACCUCGACCCGCUCGAGAUGGAGGAAAGGGAGAAACUAGUGCGCCGGAUGUGGGACUUGUACACGCGCACUGGUGAUCAUGUAUGGCUUCCGCGGUUCUGGCAAGAAGCAUUUGAGGCUGCAUAUGAGGAGCUUGCUGGUGAUGAUACGCCUGCAAGUGACGCAGCUGUAUCGGAGAUUGCUCGCAUGGCAAUUCACAGGCCUGAGCUUGAGCAGGCAGAAACAGUACACUGUGACCAUUUGGAGAAGUGGAGGCCCAAGCCUCCAGGGUGAAUGAGUAGAUGGUUCAUGCAAAAUUUGUCUGUCCCAUUUCAAGAGAAGAUUUUUUACAAAGAUCAUUUCAAGAGAAGAUCACUUGCUAACUGUGAUCAUCGCAUCAUUUCAACUUCUCUCCGUAGUCUUUCAUCUCUUUGUGCAGUAUGUGAAGUUAACUUGCACCUUCAUGAAGCGGACUGAUCCUCAUCUCCCUCGUAAGAAGUACUUUGGAAUUCUUAGUAACCAGAUGAGAAUAUCUCUAGUUAUGUAUGUUCUGCACAUAUCGAGAAGGAACAUCGCUGCGAAAAAAUUGGACACUGAAAUCAUUUCUGUGCUGGUUUUUCACUCCCCAUUAUAAGAAUCAUCGUGCAUCCACAUGCCCUUUGCGCAUGUGGUUAUAUGCAAUGUGCAUUAAUUUGAGAAGGUCCAUUCAACUCAAAUGGUGACAGGAAUCAACUUCG
rnacentral:rRNA from 1 species